GCUAUGAUUCAUUGGAUCUGUACCCACACUUACUUGGAUAACUGUGGUAAUUCUAGAGCUAAUACAUGCACCACGUCUCUGACCGCAAGGGAAGAGCGCUUUUAUUAGUUCAAAACCGGUCGGGCCUCGGUCCGUCACCCCACCGUGUUGAGUCUGAAUAACUUGUCGCUGAGCGCACGAUCUCCGCACCGGCGCCGCCUCUUUCAAGUGGUGC
rnacentral:rRNA from 1 species